AUGAACGCUAGCUACAGGCUUAACACAUGCAAGUCGAGGGGCAGCAUUUUAGUUUGCUUGCAAACUAAAGAUGGCGACCGGCGCACGGGUGAGUAACACGUAUCCAACCUGCCGAUAACUCCGGAAUAGCCUUUCGAAAGAAAGAUUAAUACCGGAUAGCAUACGAAUAUCGCAUGAUAUUUUUAUUAAAGAAUUUCGGUUAUCGAUGGGGAUGCGUUCCAUUAGUUUGUUGGCGGGGUAACGGCCCACCAAGACUACGAUGGAUAGGGGUUCUGAGAGGAAGGUCCCCCACAUUGGAACUGAGACACGGUCCAAACUCCUACGGGAGGCAGCAGUGAGGAAUAUUGGUCAAUGGGCGAGAGCCUGAACCAGCCAAGUAGCGUGAAGGAUGAAGGCUCUAUGGGUCGUAAACUUCUUUUAUAUGGGAAUAAAGUUUUCCACGUGUGGAAUUUUGUAUGUACCAUAUGAAUAAGGAUCGGCUAACUCCGUGCCAGCAGCCGCGGUAAUACGGAGGAUCCGAGCGUUAUCCGGAUUUAUUGGGUUUAAAGGGAGCGUAGGUGGAUUGUUAAGUCAGUUGUGAAAGUUUGCGGCUCAACCGUAAAAUUGCAGUUGAAACUGGCAGUCUUGAGUACAGUAGAGGUGGGCGGAAUUCGUGGUGUAGCGGUGAAAUGCUUAGAUAUCACGAAGAACUCCGAUUGCGAAGGCAGCUCACUAGACUGUCACUGACACUGAUGCUCGAAAGUGUGGGUAUCAAACAGGAUUAGAUACCCUGGUAGUCCACACAGUAAACGAUGAAUACUCGCUGUUUGCGAUAUACAGUAAGCGGCCAAGCGAAAGCAUUAAGUAUUCCACCUGGGGAGUACGCCGGCAACGGUGAAACUCAAAGGAAUUGACGGGGGCCCGCACAAGCGGAGGAACAUGUGGUUUAAUUCGAUGAUACGCGAGGAACCUUACCCGGGCUUAAAUUGCAACAGAAUAUAUUGGAAACAGUAUAGCCGUAAGGCUGUUGUGAAGGUGCUGCAUGGUUGUCGUCAGCUCGUGCCGUGAGGUGUCGGCUUAAGUGCCAUAACGAGCGCAACCCUUAUCUUUAGUUACUAACAGGUCAUGCUGAGGACUCUAGAGAGACUGCCGUCGUAAGAUGUGAGGAAGGUGGGGAUGACGUCAAAUCAGCACGGCCCUUACGUCCGGGGCUACACACGUGUUACAAUGGGGGGUACAGAAGGCGGCUACCUGGUGACAGGAUGCUAAUCCCAAAAACCUCUCUCAGUUCGGAUCGAAGUCUGCAACCCGACUUCGUGAAGCUGGAUUCGCUAGUAAUCGCGCAUCAGCCAUGGCGCGGUGAAUACGUUCCCGGGCCUUGUACACACCGCCCGUCAAGCCAUGAAAGCCGGGGGUACCUGAAGUACGUAACCGCAAGGAGCGUCCUAGGGUAAAACUGGUAAUUGGGGCU
rnacentral:rRNA from 1 species